rnacentral:rRNA from 1 species
CAGGGAAUUUUGCGCAAUGGGCGAAAGCCUGACGCAGCAACGCCGCGUGGGGGAUGAAGGCUCUUGGGUCGUAAACCCCUUUUGCCGGGGAAGAUCGUGACGGUACCCGGCGAAUAAGCCACGGCUAACUACGUG